rnacentral:rRNA from 1 species
GAUGAACGCUGGCGGCGUGCCUAAUACAUGCAAGUCGAGCGAACAGACGAGGAGCUUGCUCCUCUGACGUUAGCGGCGGACGGGUGAGUAACACGUGGAUAACCUACCUAUAAGACUUGGAUAACUUCGGGAAACCGGAGCUAAUACCGGAUAAUAUAUUGAACCGCAUGGUUCAAUAGUGAAAGACGGUUUUGCUGUCACUUAUAGAUGGAUCCGCGCCGCAUUAGCUAGUUGGUAAGGUAACGGCUUACAAAGGCAACGAUGCGUAGCCGACCUGAGAGGGUGAUCGGCCAAACUGGAACUGAGACACGGUCCAGACUCCUACGGGAGGCAGCAGUAGGGAAUCUUCCGCAAUGGGCGAAAGCUUGACGGAGCAACGCCGCGUGAGUGAUGAAGGUCUUCGGAUCGUAAAACUCUGUUAUUAGGGAAGAACAAAUGUGUAAGUAACUCUGCACGUCUUGACGGUACCUAAUCAGAAAGCCACGGCUAACUACGUG